rnacentral:rRNA from 1 species
GGGCCAGACUCCUACGGGAGGCAGCAGUGAGGAAUAUUGGUCAAUGGGCUUACGCCUGAACCAGCCAAGUCGCGUGAGGGAAGACUGCCCUAUGGGUUGUAAACCUCUUUUGUCAGGGAGCAAUUGGCGCUACGUGUAGCGUUAUCGAGAGUACCUGAAGAAAAAGCAUCGGCUAACUCCGUGCCAGCAGCCGCGGUAAUACGGAGGAUCCGAGCGUUAUCCGGAUUUAUUGGGUUUAAAGGGAGCGUAGGUGGAUUGUUAAGUCAGUUGUGAAAGUUUGCGGCUCAACCGUAAAAUUGCAGUUGAAACUGGCAGUCUUGAGUACAGUAGAGGUGGGCGGAAUUCGUGGUGUAGCGGUGAAAUGCUUAGAUAUCACGAAGAACUCCGAUUGCGAAGGCAGCUCACUGGACUGCAACUGACACUGAGGCUCGAAAGUGUGGGUAUCAAACAGGAUUAGAUACCCGAGUA